GAUGAAGAACGUAGCGAAAUGCGAUAAGUAAUGUGAAUUGCAGAAUUCAGUGAAUCAUCGAAUCCUUGAACGCACAUUGCGCCCGCCAGUAUUCUGGCGGGCAUGCCUGUUCGAGCGUCAUUUCAACCAUCAAGCCCCGGGCUUGUGUUGGGGACCUGCGGCUGCCGCAGGCCCUGAAAAGCAGUGGCGGGCUCGCUGUCACACCGAGCGUAGUAGCAUACAUCUCGCUCUGGGCGUGCUGCGGGUUCCGGCCGUUAAACCACCUUUUAACCCAAGGUUGACCUCGGAUCAGGUAGGAAGACCCGCUGAACUUAAGCAUAUCAAUAAGCGGAGGA
rnacentral:misc_RNA from 1 species